rnacentral:rRNA from 1 species
GUGGGGAAUAUUGGACAAUGGGCGCAAGCCUGAUCCAGCCACGCCGCGUGAGUGAUGAAGGCCUUCGGGUUGUAAAGCUCUGUGGGGAGGGACGAAAAAGGUGGAGACGAAUAAGCUCUGCCCUUGACGGUACCUCCUUAGCAAGCACCGGCUAACUCUGUGCCAGCAGCCGCGGUAAGACAGAGGGUGCGAACGUUGCUCGGAAUUACUGGGCGUAAAGCGCGUGUAGGCGGACGGUCAAGUCGGGUGUGAAAUCCCUGGGCUCAACCCAGGAACUGCAUCCGAAACUGGCUGUCUUGAGUGUCGGAGAGGGAAGCGGAAUUCCUGGUGUAGAGGUGAAAUUCGUAGAUAUCAGGAGGAACACCGGUGGCGAAGGCGGCUUCCUGGACGACUACUGACGCUGAGACGCGAAAGCGUGGGGAGCAAACAGGAUUAGAAACCCUUGUAGUCC